CAAAUUGUAGCUUAACCAAAGCCUUCGCUUACACCGAAAACAUGUCCACUAAACCCGGACCACUUUGA
rnacentral:tRNA from 1 species